AUGAGUAGGGCGGGACACGUGGUAUCCUGUCUGAAUAUGGGGGGACCAUCCUCCAAGGCUAAAUACUCCUGACUGACCGAUAGUGAACCAGUACCGUGAGGGAAAGGCGAAAAGAACCCCGGCGAGGGGAGUGAAAAAGAACCUGAAACCGUGUACGUACAAGCAGUGGGAGCACGCUUAGGCGUGUGACUGCGUACCUUUUGUAUAAUGGGUCAGCGACUUAUAUUCUGUAGCAAGGUUAACCGAAUAGGGGAGCCGAAGGGAAACCGAGUCUUAACUGGGCGUUAAGUUGCAGGGUAUAGACCCGAAACCCGGUGAUCUAGCCAUGGGCAGGUUGAAGGUUGGGUAACACUAACUGGAGGACCGAACCGACUAAUGUUGAAAAAUUAGCGGAUGACUUGUGGCUGGGGGUGAAAGGCCAAUCAAACCGGGAGAUAGCUGGUUCUCCCCGAAAGCUAUUUAGGUAGCGCCUCGUGAAUUCAUCUCCGGGGGUAGAGCACUGUUUCGGCAAGGGGGUCAUCCCGACUUACCAACCCGAUGCAAACUGCGAAUACCGGAGAAUGUUAUCACGGGAGACACACGGCGGGUGCUAACGUCCGUCGUGAAGAGGGAAACAACCCAGACCGCCAGCUAAGGUCCCAAAGUCAUGGUUAAGUGGGAAACGAUGUGGGAAGGCCCAGACAGCCAGGAUGUUGGCUUAGAAGCAGCCAUCAUUUAAAGAAAGCGUAAUAGCUCACUGGUCGAGUCGGCCUGCGCGGAAGAUGUAACGGGGCUAAACCAUGCACCGAAGCUGCGGCAGCGACGCUUAUGCGUUGUUGGGUAGGGGAGCGUUCUGUAAGCCUGUGAAGGUGUGCUGUGAGGCAUGCUGGAGGUAUCAGAAGUGCGAAUGCUGACAUAAGUAACGAUAAAGCGGGUGAAAAGCCCGCUCGCCGGAAGACCAAGGGUUCCUGUCCAACGUUAAUCGGGGCAGGGUGAGUCGACCCCUAAGGCGAGGCCGAAAGGCGUAGUCGAUGGGAAACAGGUUAAUAUUCCUGUACUUGGUGUUACUGCGAAGGGGGGACGGAGAAGGCUAUGUUGGCCGGGCGACGGUUGUCCCGGUUUAAGCGUGUAGGCUGGUUUUCCAGGCAAAUCCGGAAAAU
rnacentral:rRNA from 1 species